UACGGAGGGGGCUAGCGUUGUUCGGAAUUACUGGGCGUACAGCGAACGUAGGCGGCUUGGUAAGUUAGAGGUGAAAGCCUGGGGCUCAACCCCAGAAUUGCCGUUAAGACUGCAUCGCUUGAAUCCAGGAGAGGUGAGUGGAAUUCCGAGUGUAGAGGUGAAAUUCGUAGAUAUUCGGAAGAACACCAGUGGCGAAGGCGGCUCACUGGACUGGUAUUGACGCUGAGGUUCGAAAGCGUGGGGAGCAAACAGG
rnacentral:rRNA from 1 species